rnacentral:rRNA from 1 species
AGUGAACGCUGGCGGUAGACCUAACACAUGCAAGUCGAACGGCAGCACAGUAAGAGCUUGCUCUUACGGGUGGCGAGUGGCGGACGGGUGAGGAAUACAUCGGAAUCUACUUUUUCGUGGGGGAUAACGUAGGGAAACUUACGCUAAUACCGCAUACGACCUACGGGUGAAAGCAGGGGAUCUUCGGACCUUGCGCGAUUGAAUGAGCCGAUGUCGGAUUAGCUAGUUGGCGGGGUAAAGGCCCACCAAGGCGACGAUCCGUAGCUGGUCUGAGAGGAUGAUCAGCCACACUGGAACUGAGACACGGUCCAGACUCCUACGGGAGGCAGCAGUGGGGAAUAUUGGACAAUGGGCGCAAGCCUGAUCCAGCCAUACCGCGUGGGUGAAGAGGGCCUUCGGGUUGUAAAGCCCUUUGUUGGGAAAGAAAAGCAGCAGGUUAAUACCCCGCUGUUCUGACGGUACCCAAAGAAUAAGCACCGGCUAACUUCGUG